rnacentral:lncRNA from 1 species
GCAGACGCGGCCGAAGGGCGGAGCGACACAGCCGCAGCGACCUAGUCGCCGCCAACCGCAGCGGGCCUAACGCCGCACAAGCGAAGAGCUACCGAUAGCUGCCACUCCUCUCCACCUGGGACAGCGGCCCUGCGCUCACCAUGUCGCGGCUUCCGAGCUGCCCGUGCUCCCCUCACAGCGGCGGCCACAGCGCAGCACACGCACCCACGGGGCCUCCCUGAGCCACGGAGUUCAGUCUACAACACGGCGGACAGAGAAAAUCCGCCUCCCACUGCCCUACCUCGCUCUUGAUUGAGUGGUGUAAGCUUGAAGGCCCUGAUUGGCUAGGUCCGCCCAGCGACUGCUGAUUGACAGCAGGAGCUGAAGUGAUGACCAGGCAGUCUCUGCCCUGGACUGCCUGCCUUUUACUCCAGCAUAUGGUCAGGAGAAUUUACAUUGACGCAGAACUUGUUCUUGUUCUUGGAGAGCUGGGCCCUGCUGUCUCAGUGAACUCGGCAAGCACUUCCUAGUCUAACAGGGUACCAGAUGGUUCUCGUAAGCAGUCCAGUUACCAACUCAGUGUCUAAUACAAUGGCCCCUGUGCCUCAGACCUAGGAGGCCAGUCAGACCACUCUGGUUCCAGUUGAUACUGAGAGGUUGAGAGCACAUGCUGCUCUUCAGAGGACCCAAGUUCAAUUUCCAGAACCCACAUCGGGUGACUCCAAACUGUCUGCAAAUACGGCUGCUUAGAGAACCCAGGACCACCAGUCCAGGGAUGGCCCCAGCCACAAUGGGCUUUCCCCCCAUUAAUCUCUAAUUUUUAAAAAUGACCUCACAGGCUUGCUUACAGCCCAAGCUCAUGGAGACAUUUUCAAUUGAGGCUCCCCACUCUGAUGACUCAAGCUUGUGUCAAAUUGACAUAAAACUAGCCUGCACAAAUAAACAUACCCAAUGC